rnacentral:rRNA from 1 species
GACGAACGCUGGCGGCGUGCUUAACACAUGCAAGUCGAACGGAAAUGCCCUGCUUGCAGGGUGCUCGAGUGGCGAACGGGUGAGUAACACGUGGGUGAUCUGCCCCUUACUUUGGGAUAAGCCUGGGAAACUGGGUCUAAUACUGGAUAGGACCAUGCUGUAGGUGGUGUGGUGGAAAGAUUAGUUUCGGUAAGGGAUGAGCUCGCGGCCUAUCAGCUUGUUGGUGGGGUAAUGGCCUACCAAGGCGUCGACGGGUAGCCGGCCUGAGAGGGUGGACGGCCACAUUGGGACUGAGAUACGGCCCAGACUCCUACGGGAGGCAGCAGUGGGGAAUAUUGCACAAUGGGCGCAAGCCUGAUGCAGCGACGCCGCGUGGGGGAUGACGGCCUUCGGGUUGUAAACUCCUUUCAGCCAUGACGAAGCCCUUGUGGUGACGGUAGUGGUAGAAGAAGCACCGGCUAACUACGUG